UCGCUUUUUAUUUUGUCUUUUCCGGCUGCCGUACGCAUCACUUCCUUCAUGUGCUGACAAGAUGGCUGCCCCCGUUGCCAUUCAUCUGGAGUUUGGAGGAGGAGCGGAGCUUCUUUUUGAUGGUGUGAAGGAUCAUCAUGUCACUCUUCCAAGCCACGCGGAACCUUGGGACAUGAAGCAGCUGCUGGUGUGGAUCCGACACAACCUGCUCAAGGAGCGGCCCGAGCUCUUUGUCCAAGGCGACACUGUGUGAGUGUCCUCCAUAUUUUCGCUAUUCUGUUUCUCAAAAGGGGGAGGCCUGGGAUCCUGGUGCUGAUCAAUGAUGCCGACUGGGAGCUCAUGGGCGAGUUGGACUACCGCCUGCAAGAGCAAGACAACGUAGUGUUUAUUUCCACGCUGCACGGAGGAUAGAAUACACACACACAUACGCACACCAACAAUGACACUAUGCUUCCCCAUUAAUGGCAUCCCAACAAAGCAGAACCCCAUUGGACGACACGUCAGCCUCCCACCAGACCGUCAAGGUGAUGGAUGUUCAUCAGGAGUCACAGUUGGUCCCAGAGAUGGUUUCCGAGCUCGCUGAGAGGAAGUUUCCUCCAGUUGGAUGACUUUAAAAAAUAAACUGGACAGGAAUCGUGGCAGAAGAUUCUCGCAUGACGGUGGAUAACGUGCGUGUAUGUGUUUGUUUUUCGCCCAUUAUUCAUUUGUACCCAUCUUUUUAAGACUAUUAUACUUUUAACCUUACAAUUAAAAUUGUUUGGCUCUGUUUAUUUUUGCACAAUAAAACCCUAAUAGCAGGUGGAAGGUUGUUGCUUAUGUUCUUACAAUGAUGUGAUUCACCAAAUAUAUUCAAUCCACCUCCAUACAAAACUUCUUAAUAUUGAAGUCAUUUUUUCCAUUUUUUUUUUACAUUUUAUUUCUUUUAGCAACAAGUAAAAUUUUUAUUACAAAAAAAGCUUCUCUAGCACAUAGAAUACUGCUUCUGACGUGACAGGUUUGCCACCAACCAGUUGUAUGAAAU